CUUCUAGAACUCUUUUUUCUUUCAAUUUUGAAUAUUUUUUUUCAGCCGUUAAAGGAUUCAUGACUUAUUGUCUGACAGUAUAUGGAACCAGAAAUUCAACAAGAAAUAUUCUGAACCUUACAUAAAAUAGUUUGAAAUGUAGACAGACGUAUAAUGAUUGUUGAUGUUGAUUUUGGAAGGGACGUGCUUCAACCUCGAGGUGAUUUCGAACACACAGAGGAGAAACAGCCGUUCAUAAUUUUUUUCAACACGAGAUUUCUGCGAAGGGCCGUUCAUGAAGCACAACCAACUGAGAAAGCAGUGAACGAGGCCGGUCAUUUUAACCCAGACCAGAUCACGCCAGCCAUAUUGACCUCCCGUCUGAGUCGAAUCGACCUCGCCAUGAACAUCCUCCCUUGACCACAGUGCUGUAACAUCUAAAGUCAAAUCAACCCAGGAUCAGGCUAAAUGAAUGCAGUGACACCUGGAUUUGCAAACAGAAGAGAAAAUUUGCAGGAUACAACGCCCAGUCGAGUUCAUCCUCAGAAUAAGAGACAAGGUAGAGAAUACUGAGCAAUAUUUUAAAACCCAGAGAUUCAA